GGGGUUGUGGCUCAGCGGUAGAGCACUUGCUGGCACGAUCAAGGACCUGGGUUUGAUCCUCAGCACCACA
rnacentral:tRNA from 1 species